AGCAGCUACAAGAAGAGAAAAUAAAGACGGUUCAUUCUUGUGGAACUACAACUGAACAGGCCCACUUAUAGCUUUACAGGACAGAAGAGGAAAGCACGAUAGCAGGGGUUAGAGGUCAGCAGGCACCAUCCAAUUGAAAACAAUUGUCAUUUGAACAACAGCAACAGCUGGAGAUCAAGUAGCCAUCACUGCUGAAACAGCUUCCUUCUGACUGGUGUUGAAACUGCUACUUGUCAUCAGCUAGAUCACUUCAAAACACUCCUUGAUCUAUGAAGUUCAUUCAAAUUAGAUGCUUAGUCACUGGAAAAACAACAACAAACAAACAAACCCAGAAACAAAAAAUGAAGCAGGAGCCAGUGCCUGGGAAGAGAAGUCAACAGCCAUCACCCAUAAGCCAGACGUACUGUGGUUGGAGGCGAUGACUGUGUAUAUGACACUGCUGCAGAGCUGCCAUCAUGAAGCAUGACUGUGCUCCUGAUCUUUCAUUUAUCCAAUAACCUGCACUAACUUUGGUUUUGAUCCAAUCUCACUUUAGGUAAUUUCAGUCUACAUUCUCAUCUUGUAUUUAUUGAUACUAACACUGAGUUUUUCACUGUAGAACCAUACUGCCCAUAGGUUCACUAGGACAAACUCGGUUAAAAAUUCUGAAACAAAUAUAUUUGCCAAGCCAUUUUUGGGGUGAAUUUCCCACACUUACAAAUAGACAUUUUGGCUAGGGCAAUUGAAUGUGAUCUAGCUGUAUAUAAUUCCCUGGGUGGAUUAUAAAUGCUUGCUAAAGCAUACAAUCACUUGAGUUGCUACACAAUGUGCUACACAAUGUGCUAUUCUGGAGGAAAUGCAAGAGCUGGAGAAGUGUUAUAGUUAAACUAAAUGCUGGGAGUUGACAGGACAUGCAGUUUCUUUUGACUUGUUCUUGAAAACCACUACUGACAACUAUGACAGGUUCUGUAUCUGUAGUUGAUUGAUAGAACUUUUCCAAAUGGAAGAAAAUAAUUUUAGUCAUUAGUGGAAAAGGUUAUCAUUAGUAGUGAUCCACAACGUUAAUCACAAGUUUAAAUUGUCAAUUUGAUUAUCAUAAUUGUAACAGCACAGUGACUAAAUUGGGAUCACUUAUUAGUGGGACUAAUAUGCUCCUAUUACAGAGUUUUCAAUGGCUCUAUCAAUACCCACGGAACAGAAUAAAAACUGUCCUUGUGCUGUCACAUCAGAAACAGCUCACAAUAAGCUAGCAGAUCUAUAUUGGCUCAAAGAACAGAGCUAAUGAGAAUGACAGGAAAUAAACGUACAAAUUAUUUAGUCUUCUGCAACAGUCACAGUGAAUUCACCUGUAGAAUGGAGUCAGCACAAAGCCUUGCAUAAGGAUCAGUGCUAGAAGUCUCUGAUACAAAGAUAUGGGCUUAUUCUGCUAACUGCAAACUGUUCUGGCCCUGUCUGUCCCUUGUCACCCAUGAACAACAUCUUUCACUUUGUCUUACUUGUACGGUACUACCUCACAAACAGAUUCUUCCACAUAAAAAUGAGCUUCCUCCUUACUUAAUUUCAAGUGUUUUCAAAUUGUUUUUAACCUGAAAUGUAUCAACAUUUUAUUUAAUUAUUUAAAGAUACCAUUCUUCUUUUGGAGCUUUCUUCUCAGUUGUAAAACUCUGCAUAUUAUAACAACAAUUUAUCAUUAAAAUUUG